rnacentral:rRNA from 1 species
GACGAACGCUGGCGGCGUGCUUAACACAUGCAAGUCGAGCGAUGAAGCACUUUCGGGUGUGGAUUAGCGGCGAACGGGUGAGGAACACGUGAGGAAUCUGCCUUCCACUCUGGGAUAACUCCGGGAAACCGGGGCUAAUACCGGAUACUUUCAACUGGCGGCAUCGCUGGUUGAAGAAAGUUUUUCGGUGGAAGAUGACCUCGCGGCCUAUCAGCUUGUUGGUGAGGUAAUGGCUCACCAAGGCGACGACGGGUAGCCGGCCUGAGAGGGCGACCGGCCACACUGGGACUGAGACACGGGCCAGACUCCUACGGGAGGCAGCAGUGGGGAAUAUUGGGCAAUGGAGGAAACUCUGACCCAGCGACGCCGCGUGAGGGAUGAAGGCCUUCGGGUUGUAAACCUCUUUCAGCAGGGAAUAAGCGAAAGUGAAGGUACCUGCAGAAGAAGCACCGGCUAACUAUGUGCCAGCAGCCGCAGUAA